GACGAACGCUGGCGGCGUGCUUAACCCAUGCAAGUCGAACGGAAAGGCCCUGCUUUUGUGGGGUGCUCGAGUGGCGAACGGGUGAGUAACACGUGAGUAACCUGCCCUUGACUUUGGGAUAACUUCAGGAAACUGGGGCUAAUACCGGAUAGGAGCUCCUGCUGCAUGGUGGGGGUUGGAAAGUUUCGGCGGUUGGGGAUGGACGCGCGGCUUAUCAGCUUGUUGGUGGGGUAGUGGCUUACCAAGGCUUUGACGGGUAGCCGGCCUGAGGGGGUGACCGGCCACAUUGGGACUGAGAGACGGCCCAGACUCCUACGGGAGGCAGCGGUGGGGAAUAUUGCACAAUGGGCGGAAGCCUGAUGCAGCAACGCCGCGUGCGGGAUGACGGCCUUCGGGUUGUAGACCGCUUUCGCCUGUGACGAAGCGUGAGUGACGGUAAUGGGUAAAGAAGCACCGGCUAACUACGUG
rnacentral:rRNA from 1 species